CCUUUUCCCCCCGUCACUGGACACCCUCCCGUUACGCCACUGAGAGAAAUAGCAACAGCUCUGAGUGUUGGACAUUAAUGUUAUUCCUUUUCUUUUUGUUUUUUUUUUUCUUUGACACUUGGUAUAUAAUAUGUAUUUUACUGGUUAUUUCACUCCUUAAAGACAGUUAUUAAAAGUAAAAUACGUAAACCACAACUCAAUCUCUUUCUGGCAACCAACUAUACGUCACUGUCUCCAGGACGACCAUCUUUUUAGUUCAUUCCUGAACCAUGAGUCCGCGACAGACGGUCUAGUAGUGGACAAAGAAAUUAUUUCCAUCGCCAACUUUUCAAAUAUAUUUCUAUAUAUUUUGAUAUGCAUAAUUAGAAAACAAUGUUAUCAUAUCAUUUUCAUAGUGGAUAGUUGUAUCAGGUCUAAACUACUCUUCCUAGAGAUCCAGUUUGACCAUCUCUGAAAUUAUGUGCCAAUGUGCGAUCUUAACAGUCCCAUGUAAAUAGCUCCUAUAAUUUCAUAUUUCGUCUGACACUACAGAGAACAACGCAUCUUCCUAGAGAUCCAGUUUGACCAUCUCUGAAAUUAUGUGCCAAUGUGCGAUCUUAACAGUCCCAUGUAAAUAGCUCCUAUAAUUUCAUAUUUCGUCUGACACUACAGAGAACAACGCAUCUUCCUAGAGAUCCAGUUUGACCAUCUCUGAAAUUAUGUGCCAAUGUGCGAUCUUAACAGUCCCAUGUAAAUAGCUCCUAUAAUUUCAUAUUUCGUCUGACACUACAGAGAACAACGCAUCUUCCUAGAGAUCCAGUUUGACCAUCUCUGAAAUUAUGUGCCAAUGUGCGAUCUUAACAGUCCCAUGUAAAUAGCUCCUAUAAUUUCAUAUUUCGUCUGACACUACAGAGAACAACGCAUCUUCCUAGAGAUCCAGUUUGACCAUCUCUGAAAUUAUGUGCCAAUGUGCGAUCUUAACAGUCCCAUGUAAAUAGCUCCUAUAAUUUCAUAUUUCGUCUGACACUACAGAGAACAACGCAUCUUCCUAGAGAUCCAGUUUGACCAUCUCUGAAAUUAUGUGCCAAUGUGCGAUCUUAACAGUCCCAUGUAAAUAGCUCCUAUAAUUUCAUAUUUCGUCUGACACUACAGAGAACAACGCAUCUUCCUAGAGAUCCAGUUUGACCAUCUCUGAAAUUAUG